UUCUCUUUCUUUCUCGGUCGGUCUGUCAAGAUACCUACUCUCCUCUCCUCUCAAACUCCGCCUCAACCAACAAGAUCAACCCUCUCUCAUAACAAUAUUUCCAAAUCAAGGUCUAACGCAAAUCCUUGAAUCCUUGAAUCAAAAACCAAUCAGUAAUUGAAAAAAAUCCCUAAUUGAAACAUUCAUAACCCUAAAAAUUUGAUAUUGUUCCUGAAAUUAAAAAAAACAACCCUUGUUCUGUGAUAGUAAUUGUUCUUCGAUCUACUAGCCAACAAUUGAGGCAAAAGAAGAAUUAAUGAACAAAUAGAAGACUAUUGGAGCUUCAAAAAUAUGAAUAAAAGUCAAAACUCUAAUGGUGAAGUUUGGCAGGCAGGCAAGGUAGAAAUGGUGCUCGACAAGGUUAAUAAUCUUGUGAAAAUGAAGCGACGGGUUGAGUAUGCAUUGAAGCAUAUCAGUGAGUCUUGUGUUGCAAACUUGCAAUGUUGGUGUAGUUUCUUAUACUUCAUAAUUUUUCCUUUAAGAAAGUUGGCAUUUGUGUAAUGAAAGUCAUCUCUGUGGACCCAUGGUUAGUGUGUGUUUGAACUGUGAAGUAGAAUAUGUAGUCUUUCUGCUACUAAACCUAUCUAAAACCAGAUAAAUUCGAUUUGAAACACAUGAAGGUGAUGAGCAGGGAAUGUUUUGGAUGAUCAUUGGCUUCCUAGAUUUGAAUGAUUGAUGAAAUGCAUAAAGUUGGAAGACCAAACCAGUGCUGAUAAGAGAAAGCUCCAUGUAUAGCUAAUGCUUUCAAAAGGAAAUCUGAAUGGAGCUUAUCUUGCACUCCAUGUCUGCAUUAGAAAAGUUAGUGCUCCUCUCAAAUUUAUUUAGAUUUUUCGAGGAAACGAGUUAAACAAAGACUUGUACAACCAAAACAUCUGAUGAGAAGUACUUAAAGGUAACUGACAGAAGAUGCUGAAACAUUGAAGUGGAAAGUGUUGGAGCAAGUUGAUGAAGAGCUGAUGUAAAGAGAUGUAAGAGCAGCAUUAAGUCUCGUGAAGGAGUUAGCGGGAAACCUGGUGGUAUUUGUUGCUCUGGGCACAUCAAGGCAGGUUGAUUUCUGGGAGCUUUCAUCCUUGAGGAGGAGGGGUCCAGUUUCUUUGGUGGACUUUGCAUUCCUGGUUGCUGCCAAAGAUUGGGAAGUAGUUAUAGAUCAAGAAGAUUGUUGGUUGUAUUUUUCCCAAAUGUUUCAGUUUUGUAAUGUGAAUUUAGAAUGGUUGCAAAUUGUUGCUUUUGGUAUCAAAUAGUACUGGAUAUGUUUAUGAAUAAGAAUUGCAGUUUCUCCAA